AUUGAACGCUGGCGGCAGGCCUAACACAUGCAAGUCGAACGAGUGGCGGACGGGUGAGUAAUGUCUGGGAAACUGCCCGAUGGAGGGGGAUAACUACUGGAAACGGUAGCUAAUACCGCAUACCAUCGGAUGUGCCCAGAUGGGAUUAGCUUGUAGGUGAGGUAACGGCUCACCUAGGCGACGAUCCCUAGCUGGUCUGAGAGGAUGACCAGCCACACUGGAACUGAGACACGGUCCAGACUCCUACGGGAGGCAGCAGUGGGGAAUAUUGGACAAUGGGCGCAAGCCUGAUCCAGCCAUACCGCGUGGGUGAAGAAGGCCUUCGGGUUGUAAAGCCCUUUUGUUGGGAAAGCGGUACCCAAAGAAUAAGCACCGGCUAACUUCGUGCCAGCAGCCGCGGUAAUAC
rnacentral:rRNA from 1 species